rnacentral:lncRNA from 10 species
CAGAAGUUGAAGGUGUCCACUCAGUAACCCCUGCGGUCCUUCUAGAUCCAGCCUUCUCUGGGCCUGUCCAGUGGUUUUGUGACCCAACCCCACGGUUGAACCUACGCAGCUGACGUCAUGGUUGGCACGCAGCUUAGUCUUGUAUCUGGCUCCGUGGGGCACGUGGUGCCCUGUGCACACAUGCCCACCUCGCCCUGUUGGCCCCUCUGGGCACAACUGACUUUGGGAUAGGGACCAGAGCCUGAACUGUCCUGGGGGCCCAAUGUCAUUGGUGAUCCCCUAGUUGGAGAAUGCUCUCUGGCAGGGAGCAGGAGAGGAAGAGAGACUGAAGCUGGAGGAGGAUGCAGUGCAUGUGGCUGACUGGCAGGUGGAGGGGUCACCCAAGGAGGAAUGGGGGCCCUAGGGCAGAGAGCAGCCUCCGUGGACGCCAGCAAGGAAACAGGGGUGUCAGGCCUGUAACCUCAAGGACCCGGAUUCUGCCAGUGCCCGAGUGAGCCUGGGCAAAGAUUCCUCCCGGAGCCUCCAGGUUGGAGUCCAGCCCCACCACACCUUGAUUUUGGCCCAUGGGACCCUGAGCAGAGCCCAGCUGAACUCAUAUGGCAAGAAAGACCGGAGCUAAAAAGGAUGUUGUUUUAAGACACUAAGUAUAGGGCGAUCUGCUACACAGCAAUAGAAAACCACGGCAAAACCCACAUGGGUGAAGACACUGGGUUUGGGUUUGGACGUGCUGAGCUUGGGACGCUUUAGGACUUCCAGGUGGAGGAGUCCAGAAGGCAUUGUUUGCCCAUCCAUGGUGCCCUGAAGAGACCAAGAGGCUCACAUCAGAGGGUGGUCUCAGAGAGGCCGAGCGUGUGACAGCAGAAAAAUCGCUUGCCGUCUACACCCACCCUCCCUCUCUGCACGAGGACGUGGCACCAGAAAAUUGGCAGUCUUUUCCUAGCCUAAAGCACCGCAGUGAGCACCAACCAGUGGUUGCCAUCACCGGCCUCACUCCGAGUCCAGCUCCUGUGGCAGGAUAGCCGAGCUCUGCAGAGGGUCCCGGGCUGGGGCCUGGGGCUGCGUCCGCCAGGCGCUUCCCUGUCUCCUUAUGCUCCAGGGGCCGUUGGCUCUGGGGCAUGCAGGGGUCCCAGUGGUGCCUGUCUCUCAUCCUGCAUCCCUAUCACGCUGGCGCACACUAGGGCCCCUCGUACUGCUGAUGUCACAUGCUGACUGCUUGCCGCCUUCCGAGAGCCCGUCCUCUUCAUCCAGGGGCCCCAGCAAGUGAUGCCAUUUUAACACAAACUUCAAGAGCAAAGUUUGUGAAUCGGUUGCUUUGAGCCCAGGAGCUGUGUCUUGCCUGUGCCUGGCCUGCUUCCUAAAUUCCAGGGAUGCCUCCUGACCUCCAAGCCCACUCCUCAGCCCCCAUCGUCUCUACUUCCUUUUCAGGUUGCAUUCAACUCAGCCGUAAAACAGAUCAGGGCUGCCGGAUCCCCGCUGCUCAGAACAUGAGAUUUUCUCCUGGCAGUGGGAGGCCUGACAUCUUAUUAAAAACAGAGCAAAUGGCAUCAGUGGAAAGGUAGUAACUGAGUACCUGCUGUGUGCCUGGGGAUGUCUUCUGAGCUGGGACUGGAAAGAGGAGCGGAAGGAGAGGCUGAGCUGUGAGUAAGAUGUCUCCAGCCAAGCACGAGGCAGCCCAGCCUACUCAGCAGGGAGCAGAACACAGUGGCCCAACCUUUUUGGCACCAGGGACCAGUUUCAUGGAAGAUAAUUUUUCCACGGACGGGGUAGGGGACGGUUUCAGCAUGACACUGUUUCAUCUUAGAUCAUCAGGCAUUAGAUUUUCAUAAGGAGCGAGCAACCUAGAUCCCUUGCACACGCAGUUCACAACAGCGUUCAAGCUCCAGUGAGGAUCUAAUGCCACUGACCUGACAGGAGGUGGA